UACGGAGGGGGCUAGCGUUGUUCGGAAUUACUGGGCGUAAAGGGCGCGUAGGCGGCCUUCUAAGUCGAACGUGAAAUCCCUGGGCUCAACCCAGGAACUGCGUCCGAUACUGGAAGGCUUGAAUCCGGGAGAGGGAUGCGGAAUUCCAGGUGUAGCGGUGAAAUGCGUAGAUAUCUGGAGGAACACCGGUGGCGAAGGCGGCAUCCUGGACCGGUAUUGACGCUGAGGCGCGAAAGCCAGGGGAGCAAACGGG
rnacentral:rRNA from 1 species